CGGAGGAUCUUUUUACCACCAACUUGCAUUUCUUCACGUGCGUGGUCCUCGCUGAACCUUAUCCUCUCUCCGUUCUCCUACCUGCCCCACGUUGCCUCCUCCCUCCCUUCCUCCCUCAAGGCAGCGGGCAAGCAGGCAAGCAGCUCUUUGGGGUACCUUUAAAUCCAAAUCAUUCUAGGUGGCUUCGAUUUACUGCAGUGGCCAACCGUACGUCGAGCGUCAAGCAAGGCGCGGUGGUGGUUGCGCGUCCGCUCGGUGCGCAGGUUCCACGGAGCUUGAUGCGCGGUGGAGCUCGCUUCAGGCGGCACGACACGAGCAUAAAGGCAGGUAUAGACAAAUGUGCGGAUUUUCCAUGAGCCAAUGAGGUGGAGGCUCGCAGCCGCAACGUCGCUACGGGUGGCUACGUAUAUGGAGGCCAGGCACCACCCGCAGCAGGGUGCUUUAGCUUCAAAGCGUCAAGGUACACAUCUUUCUCUCCCAAUCUUAUUUGGUCCGUAUACUAAGGUUUGGAUUGGGAAUUGCUGCAGUUGCAGAUUUUAGUUAAUCCUCAAGCAAUAAUAUAGUUUUGACUAGACAAAAAUAGUAUUUUGUAGUUGGCAUUUUUCUCAUGUUCUGUUAAUCGGCCAUUUUGGUUCUAGUAUCAACUUUGCAGAAUUUAUUUGUAAGCAAGUUAUGCCAUGAACAAUCAAGAAGCAAAAUAUUCAUUUUAGGUUACAAUUUUUCAUUUAGAUUUCAGUACAAGUUUGACAAUUUCUAGCCGUACCUAGUUGUAUAUUGGAUAGGUAUUAUUUUUCACUUGUUCCACAUUUCCUUUUUUUUCUAUUAUGUUCUGCAUUCACUCUAUUAGUGUUCUUCUUCACUUUUCGUUUGUAUAUCCUCUAACUACAGAUAAAUGGAUCUUAUUUUGUCGGAAAAAUAGAUUGUAAAUCAGAAUACAAUAUUUAAGAAAUAUAAGCGUUUCAAGAUUGUCAAAUUAUGUGUCACACCCGAUUUAAAGAUAAAACCGAUUGCAUAACUAUAUGUAUGUCAGGAUCAAAUUCUAUACAUAUAGUGACUUCAUCAGUGAAUAAUCAGUAUUAGUAUCAUGAAAAGAGAACUAAAAAGACUAUAAAGAUUAUUAGAGUUUCAAAAAUUCUAGAAUAAUACUGGAGAUAGUUUAGGACACGAGAGUCCAAAUAAAAUAUUUUAAAUUUAAGAAAAAGAUUUUAGAAAUUUCCAAUAAAUAGAUUUAGCUCUACGGAAAAAGAGAAUAAUUGCCAAAAAAUCUGGAAAAUUCUCGUAAAACCCUAAAUAUGAAUGAGCACAUUCUAAAAGACAUUCACAUCCUAAAAUUAAAUAUUUUAGGGUGUGACAGUAUGCCUCCAUAUUUUUGGGUGGCAAUUUUUUUUGUUUGGUGAUCUGGCAUUAUUUUUCUACCAAUUUAGUUCCUACUUGGUGCUUGGUGUUAGAAUAGGCUCAUACAAGCCAAAUAUGCAACCCAUCUAUGCUUUUUGAGUUGAAUAUAAGAUUUGUUUUGUGUUAGAGAUGUAAGCAUUUUUGGCAAAACUCAUAAGCAUUUUAAUUGGGUUACUUAUGUGUUUUUUCAGUCUCAUAUAGGCAAUUUAUAUCUGCAUGGAAAUAUGACUUUUAAAUAUAGACACAUGAAUCUUAUUUUCUUAGUAAAAUGUAAGAACUGCAGUUGUACAAAUGAAUCAUAAGUCAUAUAUACAACUUAGGAAUUAUAACCACUUUAAUAUUGCCAAAUUAUACUUUUUAAGUUUCAAGUAUUAAUUUUUUAUUCUGAUGAUCUACCAUCUUCUUCUACUGAUUUACUUCCAGCUUGGUGCUUGGUGUUAGAGUAGGCUAAUGCAAGCUGAUGAUGCAGCCGAUCCAUGCCUUCUGAUCUUUGAAGAUGUUUUUGCUAUGUUCUAAUAUGGUUCUUGAUUGGCAAAACAGUGUACUUCAUUAGGCAGUCUUUUAUCGAGCAUUUCAUAAUCCUUCUGGCUAGCUUAAGUAGUAUAUCACAUACAACUGCUAGCACAUAUUAUCCUUCCCUACCACUCUAUCACUAUGUGCAAUCAGCAUUCAGCAACCUGCGAUCUGCCAUGCAGUGGACAAUGAUUAUUGGUUUCGUUUGAAACUAUUUGAUUCUGCCUCCAUUGCCAUUAACUUGAGGUUCAAUGUUCUUCACAUUUUUUUAUUUCAUUCUAGGUUUGUUGAGCUCCUAACUCUUGUCUUUAGUGAAGCGAGAAAGAAGUCAUCACAUCUCUCAAUCUCUGCAGCUAACAAAGUGAGGAGAAGAUGCAGCUUCACGGGUGAACAAGCACUGAAACAACCCUAUGCUUAGCUAACAGUGUGUUUUGCGGGUGUAGCAUCAUCCUCUAGAUCGGUGUGCCUCACUGGUCCCAAAUUUGGUUGUGAUGUUUGCCAUUUUGUCCGCCAAUAAUCUGGAUCCAUAAUAUUUCAGUUCCGCUACAGAGAGUCAAAGAUUUGUAUGGUUUGGGCUUUGCAUGCCCCUUCCUCACCAUCGAAUAAUGUAGCAUCAGUACAACAAUAUACAUUUCCAACAGAAAUGUAAUAGUUUUAUGGUUUGGCAAAUCAAUAUAUUAUCCGUACAAUUUUGUGUUCAAUUUGUGUGCUGUCA
rnacentral:lncRNA from 1 species